rnacentral:rRNA from 1 species
UGGGGAAAUAUUGGACAAUGGGCGCAAGCCUGAUCCAGCCAUACCGCGUGGGUGAAGAAGGCCUUCGGGUUGUAAAGCCCUUUUGUUGGGAAAGAAAAGCAGUCGGCUAAUACCCGGUUGUUCUGACGGUMCCCAAAGAAUAAGCACGGGCUAACUUCGUGC